rnacentral:misc_RNA from 1 species
GGAUGAUUUUGAUAUUGGCUUGUAAAAUUGAGAAGAGCUUUAAAUCUUGGUUAAUAACAUGAUAUCGAUAAAGGGCUUUUAGCUGUAGUCCAUCACUUCAUUGACAUAUGCCACAUUUCUAGGCAAAACAAGGGGGGAACUUGACUCUUGUAUGUUUUGUUAGUUUAUUGUAUUCCCACCCUCUUUGCCUGUGUACAUGCACAAGUACUAGAAAGUUUUUUAUUUCACCAUUGGAUCCUACAAAGUUUAAUGGCAACAAUAUAAGCUCUUUUUGUAUUUCAGUAUCUAAUGAAUUGGAGAGUCUUAAUUGGACAGCAGUGAUAUACUUGUCUAGGAUUCUUAUCUAUCUGAUGAGAGAUUUAUACUUUUUCGGGGAUCAUAUGGUUUAAUCCAAAUACCCCUUUAAGGUAUUUCAAUGUGUCAUAUUGGUUGAUUAUGACUUUUUGGGCACUUGCAAUUUCUUGUUUCUUUUUAUAAAACCUCAAGGAGGAGAUUUAUUUUCAGAAUCUAAUUCAUGGACUACUCGAUUAUAAUUGGCUGAAUUAAGAAUUAUUUUUAGUUUUAUCAUCAAUCACCAAAGUUGAUUUGUUAACAAUCUUAUAUGUUUCAUUCUCUUGAAUCAAUGCCACUAGCUUUUGUUCUUU